rnacentral:rRNA from 1 species
AUAUCAAUAAGCGGAGGAAAAGAAACCAACAGGGAUUGCCUCAGUAACGGCGAGUGAAGCGGCAAAAGCUCAAAUUUGAAAUCUGGAGCCUUCGGCUUCCGAGUUGUAAUUUGAAGAGGAUGUUUCGGUUGCGGCUUGGGCCUAAGUUCCUUGGAACAGGACGUCAUGGAGGGUGAGAAUCCCGUAUAUGGCUCCCGGCUUGCUUCCAUGUGAAACUCCUUCGAAGAGUCGAGUUGUUUGGGAAUGCAGCUCAAAAUGGGUGGUAAAUUUCAUCUAAAGCUAAAUAUUGGCGAGAGACCGAUAGCGCACAAGUAGAGCGAUCGAAAGAUGAAAAGCACUUUGAAAAGAGAGUUAAACAGUACGUGAAAUUGUUGAAAGGGAAGCGCUUGCAAUCAGACUCACUUUCAGUUGAUCAACGUUCCUUCUGGUUCAUGCACUCUGCUGUUUGUGGGCCAGCAUCAGUUGGAGCGGUGGGACAAAGGCAGCAGGAAUGUGGCUCUUCGGAGUGUUAUAGCCUGCUGUGUAAUGCCACCUGUUCCGACUGAGGUCCGCGAUUCGUCUAGGAUGCUGGCUUAAUGGUUGUAAGCGA